UUGGUUGUUCGCAGCAGCAGUUUAAAGAAAAAACUUUUAAUGUGGACUGUGACUCGAUAUUCCCUCAAGAAAUUGUUUCUAUUCUAAAAAGCUACGGAAUCGAUUCUGCAGACACACCGGCAGCCAUAAACCUGCUGACCAAACUGAAAAUAGCGACAGUCGAGGAAACAGAAGACCAAAUAACUAUAGUGUAUCAACUAAAACCGUCGGUUACAGAAAGCGUGGCGGAAGAAAAAAUAUUCGAUACCGUCGUCGGUAACAACAACAACAACAACACUUCACAGAUUUCGAUAGCUGCUAUACCGGCCGAUUCUGAUGCGAAGGUAACCGAAUCGACAAUAUUGACAUCUAAUUUAUCUAACCG